GACGAACGCUGGCGGCGUGCCUAAUACAUGCAAGUUGAGCGAUGAAGAUUGGUGCUUGCACCAAUUUGAAGAGCAGCGAACGGGUGAGUAACGCGUGGGGAAUCUGCCUUUGAGCGGGGGACAACAUUUGGAAACGAAUGCUAAUACCGCAUAAUAACUUUAAACAUAAGUUUUAAGUUUGAAAGAUGCAAUUGCAUCACUCAAAGAUGAUCCCGCGUUGUAUUAGCUAGUUGGUGAGGUAAAGGCUCACCAAGGCGAUGAUACAUAGCCGACCUGAGAGGGUGAUCGGCCACAUUGGGACGGAGACACGGCCCAAACUCCUACGGGAGGCAGCAGUAGGGAAUCUUCGGCAAUGGACGAAAGUCUGACCGAGCAACGCCGCGUGAGUGAAGAAGGUUUUCGGAUCGUAAAACUCUGUUGGUAGAGAAGAACGUUGGUGAGAGUGGAAAGCUCAUCAAGUGACGGUAACUACCCAGAAAGGGACGGCUAACUACGUG
rnacentral:rRNA from 1 species